rnacentral:rRNA from 1 species
GACGUAGGGUCCAAGCGUUGUCCGGAUUUACUGGGCGUAAAGCGUGCGCAGGCGGUUUUGUAAGACUGUCGUGAAAUCCCCGGGCUCAACCUGGGAAUGGCGAUGGUGACUGCAAGGCUAGAGUUUGGCAGAGGGGGGUAGAAUUCCACGUGUAGCAGUGAAAUGCGUAGAUAUGUGGAGGAACACCGAUGGCGAAGGCAGCCCCCUGGGUCAAAACUGACGCUCAUGCACGAAAGCGUGGGGAGCAAACAGG